AUUGAACGCUGGCGGCAGGCUUAACACAUGCAAGUCGAGCGGAGAUGAGGUGCUUGCACCUUAUCUUAGCGGCGGACGGGUGAGUAAUGCUUAGGAAUCUGCCUAUUAGUGGGGGACAACAUUCCGAAAGGAAUGCUAAUACCGCAUACGCCCUACGGGGGAAAGCAGGGGAUCUUCGGACCUUGCGCUAAUAGAUGAGCCUAAGUCGGAUUAGCUAGUUGGUGGGGUAAAGGCCUACCAAGGCGACGAUCUGUAGCGGGUCUGAGAGGAUGCACCGCAACACUGGGACUGAAGCACGUCCCAGACUCCGAGUGGAGGCAGCGGUGGGGAAUAUUGGUCAAUUGGCGGAAGCCUGAUCCAGCCAUGCCGCGUGUGUGAAGAAGGCCUUUUGGUUGUAAAGCACUUUAAGCGAGGAGGAGGCUACCUGGAUUAAUACUCUAGGAUAGUGGACGUUACUCGCAGAAUAAGCACCGGCUAACUCUGUGCCAGCCGCCGCAGUAAAAC
rnacentral:rRNA from 1 species